ACAGCAGCAGCCACGGGAAUACGUAGGGUGCGAGCGUUAAUCGGAAUUACUGGGCGUAAAGCGUGCGCAGGCGGUUGUGUAAGACAGGUGUGAAAUCCCCGAGCUUAACCUGGGAACUGCGCUUGUGACUGCACAGCUAGAGUAUGGCAGAGGGGGGUGGAAUUCCACGUGUAGCAGUGAAAUGCGUAGAGAUGUGGAGGAACACCGAUGGCGAAGGCAGCCCCCUGGGCCAAUACUGACGCUCAUGCACGAAAGCGUGGGGAGCAAACAGGAUUAGAUACCCGGGUAGUCCCUGUCUCUUAUAC
rnacentral:rRNA from 1 species